UACGGAGGGAGCUAGCGUUGUUCGGAAUUACUGGGCGUAAAGCGCACGUAGGCAGCUUUGUAAGUUAGAGGUGAAAGCCCGGAGCUCAACUCCGGAACUGCCUUUAAGACUGCAUCGCUUGAAUCCAGGAGAGGUGAGUGGAAUUCCGAGUGUAGAGGUGAAAUUCGUAGAUAUUCGGAAGAACACCAGUGGCGAAGGCGGCUCACUGGACUGGUAUUGACGCUGAGGUGCGAAAGCGUGGGGAGCAAACAGG
rnacentral:rRNA from 1 species